rnacentral:rRNA from 1 species
UGACGCACGGGUGAGUAACACGUAGGUAAUUUGCCUUCGGGUGGGGAAUAACUUGGGGAAACCCAAGCUAAUACCGCAUAAUGCAGCGGCACCAAAUGGUGACAGUUGUUAAAGCUUUAUGUGCCUGAAGAGAAGCCUGCGGUGGAUUAGGUAGUUGGUAAGGUAAUGGCUCACCAAGCCUGCGAUCCAUAUCCGGUCUUAGAGGACGGUCGGACACACUGACACUGAAUAACGGGUCAGACUCCUACGGGAGGCAGCAGUCGGGAAUUUUGGGCAAUGGGCGAAAGCCUGACCCAGCAACGCCGCGUGAAGGAUGAAGUCCUUCGGGAUGUAAACUUCGGAAGAAUGGGAAGAAUAAAUGACGGUACCAUUUUUNAAGCCCCGGCUAACUCCGUGCCAGCCGCCGCGG